rnacentral:rRNA from 1 species
UACGUAGGGCGCGAGCGUUGUCCGGAAUUAUUGGGCGUAAAGAGCUCGUAGGCGGCUGGUUGCGUCUGCUGUGAAAUCCCGGGGCUUAACCCCGGGCGUGCAGUGGAUACGGGCCGGCUGGAGGCAGGCAGGGGAGAAUGGAAUUCCCGGUGUAGCGGUGAAAUGCGCAGAUAUCGGGAGGAACACCGGUGGCGAAGGCGGUUCUCUGGGCCUGUUCUGACGCUGAGGAGCGAAAGCGUGGGGAGCAAACAGG